UUCGCAAUGCCCGAAAGGGUGAACGAGCGACGCCGCGUGCGGGAUGAAGGGUUUCGGCUUGUAAACCGCUUUUCUUUGGGAAGAAGGUCUGUCUCGUGAAGAUGGGCUCGACGGUACCAGAGGAAUAAGCCUCGGCUAACUCCGUGCCAGCAGCCGCGGUAAUACGGAUGGAGCAAGCGUUGUUCGGAAUCACUGGGCAUAAAGCGCAUGUAGGCGGCUCUGAAAGUAGGGUGUGAAAUCCCCAUGGCCCACCCAGGGAACUGCAUUCUAAACUUCAGGGCUUGAGUGAAGAAGGGGAGAGAGGAACUCCUGGUGGAGCGGUAAAAUGCGUAGAUAUCAGGAGGAACGCCGGUGGAGAAGUCGUCUCUCUGGUCUUUUACUGACGCUGAGAUGCGAAAGCUAGGGGAGCAAACGGGAUUAGAUACCCCGGUAGCCCUAGCCGUAAACGAUGGGCACUAAGUAGAGGGGUUUU
rnacentral:rRNA from 1 species